rnacentral:lncRNA from 1 species
AUUCUUCAUUAGAUAAUAGAUAAUUGAGACGUGCGUUGUCGGUUUUGCAGUGAGCUGAAGUCCAAAUAGCAAUUCUUGAUUGAAUGGAUAAGAACAGAGAACAAUGAGAUAGAUAAUUCGAAUUUCUUCAAUGAAUCGUUCCUUUUAAAUUUUUAUUUCUUGGCUUUGAUGAUGCAAAAUAAAUUAAUUGAAGUUUGAACGCGUUUUCUGCAGCUUGGUUUGUCAAAAUAAUAACUUUCUUCAUAGCAUGGUGCCUCGAUAUUUGGUUUGGCGGUCUUGGUAAAAACAUUUGUUUCAAUCUUUCUUUAUCGAUUCGUAUAUCAUAUAUUUCUUGAUUUCUUGAUUUGGUGUUUACUCUUUGGUUCUGCAGGAGAAGAUGUGAUUUUAAUUUUUCAAUUCUGAAGUUUGCCUGUUGUGUUCAAUUUUCUUUUGUUUCUUGAUCUGUUGGCCAGGUUGUUUUUUCCAUGAUUGCUUAAUUUCAGGUUUGCUAUAUACGAGAAUAGGAGAUUGUUAGUGAUAUGCCUUUCUAUAUCAAGAAAUUCACGCAAUUACACUUCUCAACUCUUCUUUUAAC